rnacentral:rRNA from 1 species
AACGAACGCUGGCGGCAUGCCUAACACAUGCAAGUCGAACGAGACCUUCGGGUCUAGUGGCGCACGGGUGCGUAACGCGUGAGAAUCUGCCCUUGGGUUCGGAAUAACAGCGAGAAAUUGCUGCUAAUACCGGAUGAUGACGUAAGUCCAAAGAUUUAUCGCCCAAGGAUGAGCCCGCGUAGGAUUAGCUAGUUGGUGAGGUAAAGGCUCACCAAGGCGACGAUCCUUAGCUGGUCUGAGAGGAUGAUCAGCCACACUGGGACUGAGACACGGCCCAGACUCCUACGGGAGGCAGCAGUGGGGAAUAUUGGACAAUGGGCGAAAGCCUGAUCCAGCAAUGCCGCGUGAGUGAUGAAGGCCUUAGGGUUGUAAAGGCUCUUUUUACCCGGGAUGAUAAUGACAGUACCGGGAGAAUAAGCUCCGGCUAACUCCGUGCCAGCAGCCGCGGUAAU